GACGAGAGUUUAAAGUAUAGACCCUUCCAGGACGGACGUGUUUAGAAUAUCUGAACACAGCCUGGUACUGAUAGUGACGUUCUAUCCCAUUCAAUUUAAUAAAAGAACAGCAAAAUACAAACAUGAAUUUUAACGUUUGUAGACAACUCUGAUAAAAGGUUGUUGUUUAUAUUAAAUAAAGUUCACUGAUGUCUGCAGGAUGUCUGUGUGGAGCUUCAUGGAAUAUAAAAAAAUGUAAUUGUCAAAAGUCAAAGCUGUGGCCUGCUGGAUUUUGGUGCGGUUGUAACAUUCAUUUUAAGCUAAAUUAAUUACGUGAUAGUUAGCCGUUAUGCUAAUUUUGGCGCUAAUGGCUACAUCAAUACAUUUUGGUUUUGUAGCGCGUCUUUGGUGUUACUCAGAGCGGUCGAGUGGUCGUUAGUCGCCAAACAGCCCUGGUUUUUCAUAGAUUGUGAUGUUUGGAGGCUAAUGCUAACUCUCCCAUUGAAAAUGCACUGGAGCUAAUGGACAGAAGGAUACGAGCUUUUAAAAUACAUGUGUUCAGUUUAUAAACACUGAAAGGGUCGGUAGGUCACUGCAGUAAAGAGUAGGUCACUGUAGUAAAGAGUAGGUCACUGCAGUAAAGAGUAGGUCACUGUAGUAAAGAGUAGGUCACUGUAGUAAAGCGUAGGUCACUGCAGUAAAGAGUAGGUCACUGCAGUAAAGAGUAGGUCACUGUAGUAAAGUGUAGGUCACUGUAGUAAAGAGUAGGUCACUGCAGUAAAGAGUAGGUCACUGUAGUAAAGAGUAGGUCACUGUAGUAAAGUGUAGGUCGCUGCAGUAAAGAGUAGGUCGCUGCAGUAAAGAGUAGGUCGCUGCAGUAAAGAGUAGGUCACUGCAGUAAAGCGUAGGUCACUGCAGUAAAGAGUAGGUCACUGCAGUAAAGAGUAGGUCACUGCAGUAAAGAGUAGGUCACUUUAGUAAAGCG
ensembl:lncRNA